UGAGGUUAUAAUAUUUGGAGAGUUUGGACUUAGAAUUCAUGCUGUAAUAGGUCAAGACUUUUGAGAAUGUUGGGAUGAGGUGAAUUUAUUUUGCAUAUGGGAUGUAAAUAAAGUUUUAGGGGUCAAAAAAUGAACCGUAGUUGGUUAGACUGUGGCCCCCAAAAGUUAUGUCCACCCAGAACCACAGUAUGUGAGCAGACUAGGUCUUUGUAGAGCUAAUUAAGGUAAGGAUCUUGAGAUGAGAACACCCAGGAAUAAGACAGACCCUACGAGACAGAAAAGAAGAUGCAGAAAGAGGGCCAUGAGAAGAUGAAGGCAAAGACAGGAAUUUUCCUGCCACAAGUCAAGGAAUACCUAUCAAGUCACCAGAAGAUGGAAGAAACAAGCAAAGAUUCUUCCCUAGAGCCUGGAUUUUGGACUUCUAGCCUCCAGAACUGUGAGACAUUUUAAGCUACCAA